CCUACGGGGGGCAGCAGUAGGGAAUCUUCCACAAUGGGCGAAAGCCUGAUGGAGCAACGCCGCGUGCGUGAAGACGGUCUUCGGAUCGUAAAACCCUGUUGUUAGAGAAGAAAGUCCGUGAGAGUAACUGUUCACGUUUCUACGGUAUCUAACCAGAAAGCCUCGGCUAACUACGUGCCAGCAGCCGCGGUAAUACGUAGGUGGCUAGCGUUAUCCGGAUUUAUUGGGCGUAAAGGGAACGCAUGCGGUCUUUUAAGUCUGAUGUGAAAGGCUUCGGCCUAACCGGAGAAGUGCAUUGAAAACUGGGAGACUUGAGUGUAGAAGAGGAGGGUGGAAUUCAAGGUGUAGCGGUGAAAUGCGUAGAGA
rnacentral:rRNA from 1 species